GACGAACGCUGGCGGCGUGCUUAACACAUGCAAGUCGAACGGAAAGGCCCUGCUUUUGUGGGGUGCUCGAGUGGCGAACGGGUGAGUAACACGUGAGUAACCUGCCCUUGACUUUGGGAUAACUUCAGGAAACUGGGGCUAAUACCGGAUAGGAGCUCCUGCUGCAUGGUGGGGGUUGGAAAGUUUCGGCGGUUGGGGAUGGACUCGCGGCUUAUCAGCUUGUUGGUGGGGUAGUGGCUUACCAAGGCUUUGACGGGUAGCCGGCAUGAGAGGGUGACCGGCGACAUUGGGACUGAGAUACGGCCCAGACUCCAACGGGAGGCAGCAGUGGGGAAUAUUGCACAAUGGGCGGAAGCCUGAUGCAGCAACGCCGCGUGCGGGAUGACGGCCUUCGGGUUGUAAACCGCUUUAGCCUGUGACGAAGCGUGAGUGACGGUAAUGGGUAAAGAAGCACCGGCUAACUACGUG
rnacentral:rRNA from 1 species